rnacentral:rRNA from 1 species
GAUGAACGCUGGCGGCAUGCUUAACGCAUGCAAGUCGGACGGGAAGUGGUGUUUCCCGUGGCGGUCGGGUGAGUAACGCGUAAGAACCUGCCCUUGGGAGGGGAACAACAGCUGGAAACGGCUGCUAAUACCCCGUAGGCUGAGGAGCAAAAGGAGGAAUCCGCCUGAGGAGGGGCUCACGUCUGAUUAGCUAGUUGGUGAGGCAAUAGCUUACCAAGGCGAUGAUCAGUAGAUGGUCCUAGAGGAUGAUCAGCCACACUGGGACUGAGACACGGCCCAGACAACUAGGGGAGGCAGGAGUGGGGAAGAUACAGCAAUGGGAGAAAGGAGGAAGGAGCAAUGCGGCGGGGAGGUAGAAGGCCUACGGGAAGUGAAAUUCUGAUCCAGGAGAAGAAGAAAUGACGGUAACUGGGGAAUAAGCAACGGCUAACUCUGUG